UACGGAGGAUGCAAGCGUUAUCCGGAAUGAUUGGGCGUAAAGCGUCCGCAGGUGGCUAUGUAAGUCUGCUGUUAAAGAGUCUAGCUCAACUAGAUAAGAGCAGUGGAAACUACAAGGCUAGAGUACGUUCGGGGCAGAGGGAAUUCCUGGUGUAGCGGUGAAAUGCGUAGAGAUCAGGAAGAACACCAGUGGCGAAGGCGCUCUGCUAGGCCGUAACUGACACUGAGGGACGAAAACUAGGGGAGCGAAUGGG
rnacentral:rRNA from 1 species